CCUACGGGCGGCAGCAGUGAGGAAUAUUGGUCAAUGGGCGCGAGCCUGAACCAGCCAAGUCGCGUGAGGGAAGACGGUCCUAUGGAUUGUAAACCUCUUUUGUCGGGGAGCAAAAGACGCCACGCGUGGCGUUCCGAGAGUACCCGAAGAAAAAGCAUCGGCUAACUCCGUGCCAGCAGCCGCGGUAAUACGGAGGAUGCGAGCGUUAUCCGGAUUUAUUGGGUUUAAAGGGUGCGCAGGGGGAAGAUCAAGUCAGCGGGAAAAUUGAGAGGCUCAACCUCUUCGAGCCGUUGAAACUGGUUUUCUUGAGUGAGCGAGAGGUAUGCGGAAUGCGUGGUGUAGCGGUGAAAUGCAUAGAUAUCACGCAGAACUCCGAUUGCGAAGGCAGCAUACCGGCGCUCAACUGACGCUCAUGCACGAAAGUGUGGGUAUCGAACAGGAUUAGAUACCCGUGUAGUC
rnacentral:rRNA from 1 species